rnacentral:rRNA from 1 species
GACGAACGCUGGCGGCGUGCUUAACACAUGCAAGUCGAACGGAAAGGCCCUGCUUUUGUGGGGUGCUCGAGUGGCGAACGGGUGAGUAACACGUGAGUAACCUGCCCUUGACUUUGGGAUAACUUCAGGAAACUGGGGCUAAUACCGGAUAGGAGCUCCUGCUGCAUGGGGGGGGUUGGAAAGUUUCGGCGGUUGGGGAUGGACUCGCGGCUUAUCAGCUUGUUGGUGGGGUAGUGGCGUACCAAGGCUUUGACGGGUAGCCGGCCUGAGAGGGUGACCGGCCACAUUGGGACUGAGAUACGGACCAGACUCCUACGGGAGGCAGCAGUGGGGAAUAUUGCACAAUGGGCGGAAGUCUGAUGCAGCAACGCCGCGUGCGGGAUGACGGCCUUCGGGUUGUAAACCGCUUUCGCCUGUGACGAAGAGUGAGUGACGGUAAUGGGUAAAGAAGCAACGGCUAACUACGUG